UACGUAGGGGGCAAGCGUUGUCCGGAAUCAUUGGGCGUAAAGAGCGUGUAGGCGGCCCGGUAAGUCCGCUGUGAAAGUCCAGGGCUCAACCCUGGGAUGCCGGUGGAUACUGUCGGGCUCGAGUCCGGAAGAGGCGAGUGGAAUUCCUGGUGUAGCGGUGAAAUGCGCAGAUAUCAGGAGGAACACCCGUGGCGAAGGCGGCUCUCUGGGACGGUACUGACGCUGAGACGCGAAAGCGUGGGGAGCGAACAGG
rnacentral:rRNA from 1 species